rnacentral:rRNA from 1 species
UCGGUGGGGAUUAGUGGCGAACGGGUGAGUAACACGUGGGCAAUCUGCCCUUCACUCUGGGACAAGCCCUGGAAACGGGGUCUAAUACCGGAUACGAGGUUCGCAGGCAUCUGUGAACUUGGAAAGCUCCGGCGGUGAAGGAUGAGCCCGCGGCCUAUCAGCUUGUUGGUGAGGUAAUGGCUCACCAAGGCGACGACGGGUAGCCGGCCUGAGAGGGCGACCGGCCACACUGGGACUGAGACACGGCCCAGACUCCUACGGGAGGCAGCAGUGGGGAAUAUUGCACAAUGGGCGAAAGCCUGAUGCAGCGACGCCGCGUGAGGGAUGACGGCCUUCGGGUUGUAAACCUCUUUCAGCAGGGAAGAAGCGAAAGUGACGGUACCUGCAGAAGAAGCGCCGGCUAACUACGUGCCAGCAGCCGCGGUAAUACGUAGGGCGCAAGCGUUGUCCGGAAUUAUUGGGCGUAAAGAGCUCGUAGGCGGCUUGUCACGUCGGGUGUGAAAGCCCGGGGCUUAACCCCGGGUCUGCAUUCGAUACGGGCUAGCUAGAGUGUGGUAGGGGAGAUCGGAAUUCCUGGUGUAGCGGUGAAAUGCGCAGAUAUCAGGAGGAACACCGGUGGCGAAGGCGGAUCUCUGGGCCAUUACUGACGCUGAGGAGCGAAAGCGUGGGGAGCGAACAGGAUUAGAUACCCUGGUAGUCCACGCCGUAAACGGUGGGAACUAGGUGUUGGCGACAUUCCACGUCGUCGGUGCCGCAGCUAACGCAUUAAGUUCCCCGCCUGGGGAGUACGGCCGCAAGGCUAAAACUCAAAGGAAUU